AACCCUCAUCAGCAGACAUUAGGUAGGAUAUCAACCCUCAUCAGCAGACAUUAGGUAGGAUAUCAACCCUCAUCAGCAGACAUUAGGUAGGAUAUCAACCCUCAUCAGCAGACAUUAGGUACGAUAUCAACCCUCAUCAGCAGACAUUAGGAAGGAUAUCAACCCUCAUC